rnacentral:lncRNA from 1 species
CUGAAGACGGAAAGAGAGGCCGUCCGCGUACUGCGUAGCAGUUACAUCAGACUGAGACACUUCCUGUUUACAGGAGACUUUAUAAACCCCUGCCGCAUACUCAUUUGGUGCUGACGCCAUUGUAGACCUCAGCCCGUCUGUACCCAGGCGCUCAUUAGAACAGCGUGUUGCUCCACACCGCCUUGUGGUGUUUGUUACCGCGCUCUUGGGGUUCGAACCGAUACAGCAGGCUUGCAGCUAUUUCAUUGGUUUAAACUUUUAUUUUUUUAUUGCAAAUGAAAAUUACUAUCAACUAUCAUUACAAAGCUGUAGAAUAUGAAGUUCGAAGGAAAACGCUGAAUCAGUAUACAAAAGCGUCUCAAUCAGACUCAUCCAUUUUGAAGCAAUUCCUCUGCCAUUUUGCCACCUCCUCUCAAAUUCAGCGACUUACCAGAAAGCCUGUGUGGAUGAAUAUUGCUUCCAGGAGUCACAUAAUUACAUCUAAAAUCAUAGAAUGUUAGAGCUGGAGGAAUCUUUAGAGUUUGCCCAAGGUCCUUCACCAGCAUUUUACAGAAGAUUCUUCGAUUUAACUGCUCUUAAUUACAUCCCGUUGCACUGGCCCCAUCAAGUUGCUUUAAACAGCCCUUCUAGUCAACAGAGCUGCAGAGAAAAACCUUGGUUGGUUCAGGUCACUAGGAUGCAGAGCUGUCACACUUCAUUUGUGAGAACACUCCAGAGCUUCCUCCAGCUGCUGAUUCCAAACCAGCUUCACAGUGAGUGAGAUUGUACAGACAGAGGAGUGGCUUUGCCUUUACAAAAUUAUGAAAUACCAUACCCUUCAUAAUAUAAUGGUGGUUAUCUACAAAUAGGGGUGCUCUUUAAUUUGUGUGUGUGUGUGCGUAUGAUUAAAUAGCCACAUUUAAGGUUGCCAGGGCACUAGUGUUUGAAUCAGGAAACCUAAAUGUAACUUUCCUUAAUUGUUUAUAAUAUAGCCCUAAAUAAUAAUGAGU